GAAAUAUACAAAAGUAAGCUUCUAACUUAUCUAUAAAGCAUAAUCAAUGUUUAUAUUUCU
rnacentral:tRNA from 1 species